rnacentral:rRNA from 1 species
GACGAACGCUGGCGGCGUGCUUAACACAUGCAAGUCGAACGAAGUGGCGAACGGGUGAGUAACGCGUAAUCAACCUGCCCUUCAGCGGGGGACAACAGUUGGAAACGACUGCUAAUACCGCAUACUGAAGGAGGGGCUUGAGUUGGAUUAGCUAGUUGGAGGGGUAACGGCCCACCAAGGCGAUGAUCAGUAGCCGGGCUGAGAGGAUGAACGGCCACAGUGGGACGGAGACACGGCCCAGACUCCUACGGGAGGCAGCAGGGGGGAUUCUUCCGCAAUGGACGAAAGUCUGACGGAGCAACGCCGCGUGAGUGAUGACGGCCUUCGGGUUGUAAAGCUCUGUUAAUCGGGACGCGGUACCGGAAUAGAAAGCCACGGCUAACUACGUGCCAGCCGCCGCGGUAAUUC